rnacentral:rRNA from 1 species
UACGGAGGAUGCGAGCGUUAUCCGGAUUUAUUGGGUUUAAAGGGUGCGUAGGCGGGCUUUUAAGUCAGCGGUAAAAAUUCGGGGCUCAACCCCGUCCGGCCGUUGAAACUGGGGGCCUUGAGUGGACGAGAAGAAGGCGGAAUGCGUGGUGUAGCGGUGAAAUGCAUAGAUAUCACGCAGAACCCCGAUUGCGAAGGCAGCCUUCCGGCGCCCUACUGACGCUGAGGCACGAAAGUGCGGGGAUCGAACAGG